CACCAACAACUUUAUUUUUCAGAUGUAAAAUGUCCCACUCAGUACAUAUCUUAGUCAUAACUCUCG